UAUCAAUAAGCGGAGGAAAAGAAACUAACAAGGAUUCCCCUAGUAACGGCGAGUGAAGAGGGAAGAGCCCAAGAUUGAAAGCUGGCGUCUUCGGCGUCCGCAUUGUAAUCUCAAGAAGUGUUUUCCGCUUCGGACCAAGCCUAAGUCCCCUGGAAAGGGGCAUCAUAGAGGGUGAUAAUCCCGUACAUGGCUUGGAGCGCCCGUAGCUUUGUGAUACACUUUCUAAGAGUCGAGUUGUUUGGGAAUGCAGCUCAAAAUGGGUGGUAAAUGCCAUCUAAGGCUAAAUAUUGGGGAGAGACCGAUAGCGAACAAGUACAGUGAUGGAAAGAUGAAAAGAACUUUGAAAAGAGAGUUAAACAGUACGUGAAAUUGCCAAAAGGGAAGGGUAGGAGGUCAGAGAUGCGGCCUAGGAUUCAGCCUUGCUUUUGCUUGGUGUUUUUCCUAGAUUGCAGGCCAACGUCGGUUUUGGGCACUGGAGAAGGGUGGAAGGAACGUGGCACCUCUCGGGGUGUGUUAUAGCCUUCUACUGGAUACAGCGACCGAGACCGAGGACAGCAGCGUACUCGCAAGAGCGGGCCUUCGGGCACCUUUACGCUUAGGGCGUUGGCAUAAUGGCCCUCUACCACCCGUCUUGA
rnacentral:rRNA from 2 species